rnacentral:rRNA from 1 species
CGAGUAGGUGGCUAGGCAAGUCAGGUGUGAAAGCCCCCGGCUCAACUGGGGAAUUGCACUUGAAACUGCUCUGCUCGAGGACAGGAUAGGAGAGCGGAAUUCUCGGUGUAGCGGUGAAAUGCGUAGAUAUCGAGAAGAACACCAGUGGCGAAGGCGGCCCUCUGGACUGUUUCUGACACUGAGGAGCGAAAGCGUGGGGAGUGAACG